rnacentral:ncRNA from 1 species
UGGGGAUCAGGGAUUGCAAUUAUUCCCCAUGAAUGAGGAAUUCCCAGUAAGUGUGGGUCAUAAGCUUGCAUUAAUUAAGUCCCUGUCCUUUGUACACACCACCUGUCACUACUACCAAUUGGGUGGUUUAGUGAGGCCCUCAGAACAGCCCUGAAGGUGUCUGCCCAUGGCACUGGUUGUGUGCUGAGAAGUCGAAUUUGGCUAUCUAGAGGAAGUAAAAGUCCAAACAAGGUUUCUGCAGGUGAACCUGCAGAAGGAUCAUUA